GUUUCUGGUGAGCGUGGAUGGGCUGGAACCUGUCCCAGCUGUCCUGAAGCAAAAGGCGACACACCCUCAUCAGAUCAUCGGGUCAUCACAAGGUUGAUUUUCCAAAGGGUGGCUGGCCUCUCCCUUAGAGAUGAGGUGAGGAGUUCGGCCAUCCAGGAGGGGCUCAGAGAUGGAUGAGUGGAUGGCUUAAAAUGCAGAUCCUACACCUCGCGUACAAAGGAAAAGACAGCCCAUCGCUCUUGCCUUAACUGAGCUGUGCUGACGACCUGUGAAAUACCAAACUGUAUCAUGUGUUUUUAAAGCCCUCCGUGGAUCAACUUCACGAUAUGUCACAGAUCUCAUAACUCCAUAGUUUGCCUGCAGCCAGUUCAUUCUGAGACCGCAGCAUCAUCGCCUGCGACUUCCACAUCGUCGCCUGCAGCGUCUGGUCCCGCCGCUGUCUGGUCCCACCGCCGCUACAUUGUCAUCAGAUCCUGUUCCACCUCGCCUCUGCCGGCUGCUUUCCAGGCCUCUAGUUGGCCGUCGAGGCUGGUCUCCUGAGAAAGUUCGUCGCCGCCGCUGGCUUCGGGGUCGGCCUCCGGACCUGCUCUGUUGCCGCUGCCGCCUUCCGCGUGGCCGGCCUCCUGAUUUGUUUUGCCUGUGUCACCGCCACCGUUGCUAUCCGCACGGCCGCCCCCUGAACUGUUUUGGCCCUUGUGUUGUUGACCUCCGGGUCGACCCCCUGAACUUUUCAUGGACUCCUGUUGAUCUAGUUUGGUUUUUAAUCUGUUUUCCUGGGUUCUUGAACUUUGUGCUCCUUGUUUU